CACGUAGGGGGCAAGCGUUGUCCGGAUUUAUUGGGCGUAAAGAGCUCGUAGGCGGUUCGGUAAGUCGGGUGUGAAACCUCCAGGCUCAACCUGGAGACGCCACCCGAUACUGCUGUGACUAGAGUCCAGUAGGGGAGCGUGGAAUUCCUGGUGUAGCGGUGAAAUGCGCAGAUAUCAGGAGGAACACCAGUGGCGAAGGCGGCGCUCUGGGCUGGAACUGACGCUGAGGAGCGAAAGCGUGGGGAGCGAACAGGAUUAGAAACCCCGGUAGUCC
rnacentral:rRNA from 1 species